UUUCGACCUGAGGUCAGGCAAGAACACCCGCUGAACUUAAGCAUAUCAAUAAGCGGAGGAAAAGAAACUAACUAGGAUUCC
rnacentral:rRNA from 1 species